rnacentral:rRNA from 1 species
CCUACGGGAGGCUGCAGUGGGGAAUAUUGGACAAUGGGGGGAACCCUGAUCCAGCCAUGCCGCGUGUGUGAAGAAGGCCCUCGGGUUGUAAAGCACUUUCAGUGAGGAAGAACGCCUGGUGGUUAAUACCCAUCAGGAAAGACAUCACUCACAGAAGAAGCACCGGCUAACUCCGUGCCAGCAGCCGCGGUAAUACGGAGGGUGCGAGCGUUAAUCGGAAUUACUGGGCGUAAAGCGCGCGUAGGUGGCUUGAUAAGCCGGUUGUGAAAGCCCCGGGCUCAACCUGGGAACGGCAUCCGGAACUGUCGAGCUAGAGUGCAGGAGAGGAAGGUAGAAUUCCCGGUGUAGCGGUGAAAUGCGUAGAGAUCGGGAGGAAUACCAGUGGCGAAGGCGGCCUUCUGGACUGACACUGACACUGAGGUGCGAAAGCGUGGGUAGCAAACAGGAUUAGAUACCCCAGUAGUC